GCUGGGCGCGGUGGCUCACGCCUGUAAUCCCAGCACUUUGGGAGGCAGAGGUGGGCGGAUCACCUGAGGUCAGGAGUUCGAUACCAGCCUGACCAACAUGGAGAAAGCCUAUCUCUA
rnacentral:SRP_RNA from 1 species